CGGACGGGUGAGUAACACGUGGAUAACCUACCUAUAAGACUGGGAUAACUUCGGGAAACCGGAGCUAAUACCGGAUAAUAUAUUGAACCGCAUGGUUCAAUAGUGAAAGACGGUUUUGCUGUCACUUAUAGAUGGAUCCGCGCGCAUUAGCUAGUUGGUAAGGUAACGGCUUACCAAGGCAACGAUGCGUAGCCGACCUGAGAGGGUGAUCGGCCACACUGGAACUGAGACACGGUCCAGACUCCUACGGGAGGCAGCAGCU
rnacentral:rRNA from 1 species